AAAAAAGUCGACUAUGUCAGAUUGGCGUGCGUAUCACUGUACAAGUGCUUAAAACAGAGAGAGAGAAAAGUAUAUAAUUAGAGUUUGGAGGAUGAUGAUUCUUUACACCUUUAUUUGCGAAAAGAAAGAAGCAAACCCCACUUUCCAGUUUCAUCUAAAAAGAUAAAAUAUUAAAGAAGAGGAGGUGAAUAGAGGUAUUUUGUGAAUUAAGGGUGUUGUUUUCUUGAUAAUCUGUACUGAUUUUUUUGGGGGGUU
rnacentral:misc_RNA from 1 species